AACGAACGCUGGCGGCAUGCCUAACACAUGCAAGUCGAACGAGACCUUCGGGUCUAGUGGCGCACGGGUGCGUAACGCGUGGGAACCUGCCCUUAGGUUCGGAAUAACUCCCCGAAAGGGGUGCUAAUACCGGAUAAUGUCUUCGGACCAAAGAUUUAUCGCCUUUGGAUGGGCCCGCGUUGGAUUAGCUAGUUGGUAGGGUAAAAGCCUACCAAGGCGACGAUCCAUAGCUGGUCUGAGAGGAUGAUCAGCCACACUGGGACUGAGACACGGCCCAGACUCCUAAGGGAGGCAGCAGUGGGGAAUAUUGGCAAAGGGGCGAAAGCCUGAUCCAGAAAUGCCGGGGGAGUGAUGAAGGCCUUAGGGUUGUAAAGCUCUUUUACCCGGGAUGAUAAUGACAGUACCGGGAGAAUAAGCCCCGGCUAACUCCGU
rnacentral:rRNA from 1 species